rnacentral:rRNA from 1 species
ACGAUGAUGCCCAGCUUGCUGGGCGGAUUAGUGGCGAACGGGUGAGUAAUACGUGAGUAACCUGCCCUUGACUCUGGGAUAAGCCUGGGAAACUGGGUCUAAUACUGGAUACUACCUCUUGCCGCAUGGUGGGUGGUGGAAAGGGUUUUACUGGUUUUGGAUGGGCUCACGGCCUAUCAGCUUGUUGGUGGGGUAAUGGCUCACCAAGGCGACGACGGGUAGCCGGCCUGAGAGGGUGACCGGCCACACUGGGACUGAGACACGGCCCAGACUCCUACGGGAGGCAGCAGUGGGGAAUAUUGCACAAUGGGCGGAAGCCUGAUGCAGCGACGCCGCGUGAGGGAUGACGGCCUUCGGGUUGUAAACCUCUUUCCAAGAUAGGGAAGAAUGCGAGAGGUGAACGGGUUACCUCGCCAGGAAGAGGAGCGCCGGCUAACUACCGUGCCAGCCAGGGCCGCGGUUAAUUACGUAGGGCGCACAGCGUUGUUCCGGAAUUAUUGGGCGUAAAGAGCUCGUUAGGCGGUUUGUCGCGUUCUGCUUGUGAAAGCCCGGGGCUUCAACCCCGGGUCUGCAGUGGGUACGGGCAGACUAGAGUGCAGUAUGGGAGGACUGGAAUUUCCUGGUUGUAGCGGUGAAAUGCGCAGAUAUCAGGAGGAACACCGAUGGCGAAGGCAGGUCUCUGGGCUGUUACUGACGCUGAGGAGCGAAAGCAUGGGGAGCGAACAGGAUUAGAUACCCUGGUAGUCCAUGCCGUAAACGUUGGGCACUAGGUGUGGGGGGACAUUCCACGUUUUCCGCGCCGUAGCUAACGCAUUAAGUGCCCCGCCUGGGGGAGUACGGCCGCAAGGGCUAAAACUCAAAGGAAUUGACGGGGGGCCCGCCACAAGCGGCGGAGCAUGGCGGAUUAAUUCGAUGCAACGCGAAGAACCUUACCAAGGCUUGACAUUCACCGGACCGCCCCAGAGAAUGGGGUUUCCCUUCGGGGCUGGUGGGACAGGUGGUGCAUGGUUGUCGUCAGCUCGUGUCGUGGAGAUGUUGGGUUAAGUCCCGCAACCGAGCGCAACCCUCGUUCUAUGUUGCCAGCACGUGAUGGUGGGGACUCAUAGGAGACUGCCGGGGUCAACUCGGAGGAAGGUGGGGAUGACGUCAAAUCAUCAUGCCCCUUAUGUCUUGGGCUUCACGCAUGCUACAAUGGCCGGUACAAAGGGUUGCGAUACUGUGAGGUGGAGCUAAUCCCAAAAAGCCGGUCUCAGUUCGGAUUGAGGUCUGCAACUCGACCUCAUGAAGUCGGAGUCGCUAGUAAUCGCAGAUCAGCAACGCUGCGGUGAAUACGUUCCCGGGCCUUGUACACACCGCCCGUCAAGUCACGAAAGUUGGUAACACCCGAAGCCGGUGGCCUAACCCCUUGUGGGAGGGAGCCGUCGAAGGUGGGACUGGCGAUUGGGACUAAGUCGUAACAA